UUAUAACCAAUUUAAUCGCUUCUUUUUUUGCAGAUGGACUGUGCAUCAUAGAUUGGCAGAUUAUUGUCUAGCUAGCCCAUACUGUUCCAAUAUGUGAAGAAGGAAACAUUUAAUCCAUUUGACACAAAGGUGGUCAAACUUUUGUGCGGGGGCUAACAUAUCGGUGUCCAGGAUCGUGUAACGACGAUGACAGGUACAUUUGCAGAAAUAUUCAAAGAUAUUAUUUUUAACAACAGUUACAUAAUACACGAAACAUAUAAACAUAAAAUUAGUAAACAAAUUUAAUAAUGUACUCAUUCGCUACUAACUUAAUAAUUGGAAUUCAAGUACGAAAUGAAAAUAUUUCAUUUAAAUGUUUCAGUGUGAUGGAUACAUUCGUGCUGUUGAAACCACCGCCUCUUUGAAUACUACGAAGGUUCUUCUGAGAUCAUGGAUAUAUGCAGAAUUUGUCAUGAAUGCAUUGAUGACAGUACCCCAACAUCCCGUCUCGGUCCAAAUGGAUGUCAAACGCUAUCGGACAUAAGCAGUAAAAGAGGACUUCAGUUGAAUGCUGCACCGGGGGACAUCGUCCAUGUUCAGUGUAGUAAAGAUUUUACACGGCCUGUCAAGGAGCAUGAUAUAUAUGUCACUAACAAUGGGUCACGUGUGUUACGCUCUGAAACUCAGGUUGAUUUUGUGCAAAUCACGCAAAAUUUUCUUUACAAACAAACAAGAAAUAUAGUGAUACAUAUCCUGUUAGAAGUUUACACUUUCAGGAAUCUAUUGUAGGUGUUUGCAAUAAAAGGAAAGAUGAGUGGUCAACAGCAAUUUUGGCUCGUCUGUCCCACGUCAUUGACCUUCCUGCAGCAGAAGCCAUAUACCACCAGUCGUGUAUUGUGAACUUCAGGACUGGAAAAGGUAUUCCAAAAAUACCGUAACGAUGACAGUGAAUCUACAUGAAGUGCAAAACGACAGAGAACUCCUGGAAGACCAGUAAACACAGGCCAUGUUGGUGCUUUUGAACAUGUGAUUAAGAUGAUAGAAUCGGGCCAAAAUAUGUCGAUUGUUGAUCUUGUAAACAAAAUGUCAGUCAUUUGUGGGGAAGAAAAUGCAUAUUCUGCAAAAUAUAUGGAAAAAAAAUACUGAACAUUUUGGUGAGAGUGUUGUUAUAAGCAAUUUAGAUGGGAAAAGCGAUAUUGUGACAUUGAGACAAACCAUUUCAAACAUUAUUCAUGAAAUCUACAAUGAAGAUGCUUCAAAUAUGUCAGAAGAAGAAAAGAAAUAUAAUUGAGUCAGCUGCUAAAAUAAUCAAAUAUGACAUAAUUAACAUCAAUUAGACAAAAGACUGUUACCCAUCUUGUCAAGAUAUUGCUUCAUUACAGAAGAACUUGGAUUAUGUACCACAAAGUUUACAAUCUUUAUUGAAAAUAGUAAUUGGUCCAGGUGAAAACAACCUAACAAAAAUGUAAGCCAUAGGUCAAAGUAUUAUGCAAGUAAGUUGCCCUAGAAGCAUUCUAGCGCCUUUUAAGAUUGGGCUUGGGUUGCAGCUGCAUC